rnacentral:rRNA from 1 species
UGGGGCAUAUUGCACAAUGGGCGCAAGCCUGAUGCAGCCAUGCCGCGUGUAUGAAGAAGGCCUUCGGGUUGUAAAGUACUUUCAGCGGGGAGGAAGGGAGUAAAGUUAAUACCUUUGCUCAUUGACGUUACCCGCAGAAGAAGCACCGGCUAACUCCGUGCCAGCAGCCGCGGUAAUACGGAGGGUGCAAGCGUUAAUCGGAAUUACUGGGCGUAAAGCGCACGCAGGCGGUUUGUUAAGUCAGAUGUGAAAUCCCCGGGCUCAACCUGGGAACUGCAUCUGAUACUGGCAAGCUUGAGUCUCGUAGAGGGGGGUAGAAUUCCAGGUGUAGCGGUGAAAUGCGUAGAGAUCUGGAGGAAUACCGGUGGCGAAGGCGGCCCCCUGGACGAAGACUGACGCUCAGGUGCGAAAGCGUGGGGAGCAAACA